CCCGGCUCCGUUCCCCCCUCACCGCUCCAUCCGCCCCCUCACGGCUCCGCUCGGCUCAGCACAGCUCCUCACGGCAUCGCCCGCUCCAUCCCGGCCUCACCCGACCCCUCUCGGCUUCUCGCGUCCCCUCACGGCUUCGCCCGCCCCACCCGGGACACUCGUACCGAUUUUUGCAUCUGCUUUGCCUCUGUGGAUCUGCACUUCACUUCACGGAGCUCAGUAAAAACAAAAAAGUCGAUGCAUAGACACGAGAGGAAUGGUUUAAUUCCUCUGUGCAGGCAGAACAACUGGAUCGAGUGCAGUAGGGAAACAGAGAUGAGUGAAUCAAAUAGUCCUGUCCUGAAUAAUUUCCUUGUUUCUGCUUCAUGUAUGGAUUUUCUGUAGAGGUGCAUUCAUUUCCAAACCAAGCUCUAUUCAAAAUGCAACUGAGAAAGGUGGCCCAGAGCUGAAUGUCCUCAAUUAAUUUGGUUUUAGUUAUUCUCCCUAAACAAGCAAAUUCCAACGUGAGGGCAGAAAGCAAAGCUAACGAGGCACUGCAUCCUCCAGACACCCCAGCUUUAUCGUUCUCAAGUGGAUGAGCCCUGCAGACAUGGAACAGUGGCUCGGCUCAGCCAAGGCACACACAGCAGCCCAGGAUGUAACAACUCCCUGCUGCUCUCUUUGUUUCUCUGGCUGCUCUUCACUGUCCUGUUUUAUGAAAUUUAGUUUUCAUCUCCUUUGGACUUGAGAGAAGGUGAGGCAUUAGGAAGCAAAGGAAAUUACUGUACUUGCCAAUAUACUCAUACAAGAGGAGAAGCAAAUAUUGAGAGUGAACUCCCAGUCCCUUCAGCAUUAGAAUGAAGACAGGUGCUUGUUGGCUGCAGCCAUGCCAAAAGUACCUCAUAGUUAUGGGAGCAAGGGGAGUCCAUACCACUUGUCAUACAAUCAUAGAAUCA